GCGCGGCGCCGCAGUGCGGGCAGCGGGAGCUGCGCUCACCUGGGAUCCCACCUGAGAUCCCGCCUGGAAUCCCGCCGGAGAUCCCUCCUGAGCCCGGCUCUGAGCUCAGCUGAGCUCAGCUGAGCCAACCUUGCCAUGGUUCGCUUCGGGCUGACCGUGGUGCGGCAUGGAGAAACAAGAUACAACAAAGACAAGAUACUACAAGGUCAAGGAGUGGAUGAGCCACUCUCUGCAACUGGUUUCAGACAAGCAGAUGCUGCUGGUGUAUUUCUCAGUAAUGUGAAGUUUACUCAUGUCUUUUCAAGUGACCUCCUUCGAGCAAAGCAGACUGCUACUGCCAUUCUAGGAAAGAAUAAGUUUUGCAGAGAUUUGGAAAUCAAGUAUGAUGCAAGACUGCGAGAGAGAAAAUAUGGUGUUGCAGAAGGAAGGCCCUUGGCUGACCUCAAAGCUAUGGCAAAGGAUGCUGGAGAGCAAUGUCCUUCAUUCACCCCCUCUGGAGGAGAAACACUGGAUGAAGUGAGAGAACGUGCGAGGGAUUUUUUUGAAUUCCUGUGCCAGCUAGCUGUUGGGUUGGAACAGAGAGAACCUGGUGCAUCCAGCAGAAGCUCAGGAACACCUAAAGAACAAUUUGUUUUCCCUUGGACAAACCACUGCAGUGAAGGAGAACCGAGUUCUGAGGGCAGUGGAUCCUCCAAAAUAUUAGAUGCUAAUAUACUGGUGCUACAGAACAGCACCCACAAGAACGAGCAAACCAGGAACAGCAAGCCCCUUCCAUGGGACACGCUGAGUGUCCCAAAAGGAACAGUCAGCUGGGAUUCAAAAAUCAUGCUUUGGCACUCGGAACAAAGCAACGACCUCCCGGAUUCAAAAGGCAAAUGAGAAGGUGAGGAGUGAGAAAAUGAAGCAGAAGAGUCAGUUUUCAACCUGUUUCGGUUUUUUUCUCAUCCGUGCAGUAAAGCAGAGUAACAAUAAAUUCUACCUAAAUUUGUCUAAGCAUUUGUGCCAUGUUUCAACCGAAAGGGUCCUGAUGUUUAUUGAUCCCAGAGACUUUCAAAAGGCAACAGAUUAAUAAUACCAAGUAAUAACAUUUGCAUUCUGCGAAGGGUAAUUAUUAGAGUUCACAGCAAUUAAGUGACAUCUAUUCUAUUUCAUUUCUGGAUGCAACUCACUGUAUUGGUUUUCAUUGUGAACUCCGCUUAUCCUUCCAUCUGGGAGGAUUUGAAGGUGAAACCCGAUGCCCACGUUGCAGUAAAGCCUCCGCUGCCUCUUGAUUCCUAGCAAAUAGUCACUCUCCCAGUUCACAUCUGACUUCUCCCCUGACAUCCCAGCAAUGGACCUGGACAACAGAGAUUGCCAUCCUCUCUCCAGCAAUGUGCCAUUAGUUCUGCUUACAACGGGAUGUGUAGAAGCAAUCCCAGCUAGAAAGCCCAGGAGAACGAAGGCAGGGAACGUCCGGUGAACGCUGGCUUCGCAGGACAUAGUGAUGAGGAGUCUUUGUGCAGUGGCCAUCCGGUUCACCUCCUGGGCACGUGGUCAGAAUUAAUGGCCCUAAAAAUACCGCCCUUCUUGUUUUUCUCCCUUCAGCAUGGUGGCAGAGGCUUAUUUUUGGAAAGCAAAUAGAGAUUGCUGACCUGAAACUAAAGCCCGAGAGCAGUUGGGUUGGGAGCAGAGACAGGCCAGCAGGACUCCGACUGGUGGGGAACAUGUUUUGUAGAUCCUGCUCCCCAGUGGGCAGCCUCGGUUAUAUUUGAUUGAGCCAUCUUUAUAGUGCAGAGGCUGUCCCUCCCCACAUCAUCACUCUGACAUCAACAGCUUGCCAAAGGUAAGCCUGCCACGGCUGUAACAGUAACCUGCCGUCCUCCCCGGCUGGCCGAGCUUUGAUGAAUGCUGUCACCCAAGACUGGAGGCAGGAGUGGGAUUUCAUUGGCUGUGGGAAGCAAAGGAGUCAAAUUGGCCGGCUAGUCAGAAGCCUCACAGCUUCCUUAUUUAGAGGAGAAGGUGUAAAAACAGUUGAGGACCUCAUCAGUGAGCAAUGAAAAGUUUGCAGCCACUUCCUUGGUGGCACUAUCACCAAGCGUCUCAGUAUUUGGGGAUAAUUGGCUCCAAGUGGCCAUUGCUCUUUUUGUACACGCCCAGCAAAUCCAAGGCAUCUCUUCCUAAGGGAUCCACAUGCUAAAGCUUGGUCUGUACCUCUCAAAGGAGAACUCCUGGCUGGUUAACAGACAGGAGUUGGAAUGACAGUCAGAAGACAGAGUGGUGACUCCACAGAGAACCUGUGGCUUCCCAACUGCUGCUGUGCCCACCAGCCCACGCUGCUUCUCUCAUCACCUCCUCAGCUGUUCCCACUCUGCAGGGACAGGCAGUCCAAGGGUAAAAGGCUGAGCUGGAAAAAACAGAAGUGACAGCCACCAGCCCCCACAGGGAUCUGCUUGGUAUUAUUUAUUAGAAGAGAGGAAUGACAUGGUGCAUGUUUAAUUUGGGUUUAGCUUGUCACAUGUAUGGUUUUCUCAUUACAGCAGGAACAGGGAUGCUAAAUGCCACUUUUAAGUAACUCAAUGAAUAGGAAAGCAAAAAACCCUUGUUUUUAUUGUUGGUGAUGAGAUUUUGUCCAAUGGCCCAGCUGACCAGAUCUCUGGGUGAUUUCUGACCACGGAAACUAUUCAGAUUAAAUGAUGCAAUCCAGUAUAGAUGAUUAAAGACAAUUUCUGCCAUUUUCCAGGUAA